rnacentral:rRNA from 1 species
AUACGGAGGGUGCGAGCGUUAAUCGGAAUUACUGGGCGUAAAGCGCACGUAGGCGGACUUGUUAGUCAGGGGUGAAAUCCCGGGGCCCAACCUCGGAACUGCCUUUGAUACUGCAAGUCUGGAGUCCGGGAGAGGUGAGCGGAAUUCCUAGUGUAGAGGUGAAAUUCGUAGAUAUUAGGAGGAACACCAGUGGCGAAGGCGGCUCACUGGCCCGGUACUGACGCUGAGGUGCGAAAGCGUGGGGAGCAAACAGGAUUAGAAACCCUAGUAGUCC